rnacentral:rRNA from 1 species
ACUGCGAGUGAAGCGGCAAAAGCUCAAAUUUGAAAUCUGGCGUCUUCGGCGUCCGAGUUGUAAUUUGGAGGGAUAUCUUCGGGAUGGCGCCGUCCUAAGUUCCUUGGAACAGGACGUCAUAGAGGGUGAGAAUCCCGUGCCUGGAUGGCUGUCCAUCUCCAUGUGAAGUGUCUCCGACGAGUCGAGUUGUUUGGGAAUGCAGCUCAAAAUGGGUGGUAAAUUUCAUCUAAAGCUAAAUAUUGGCGAGAGACCGAUAGCGCACAAGUAGAGUGAUCGAAAGAUGAAAAGCACUUUGAAAAGAGAGUUAAAAGGUACGUGAAAUUGUUGAAAGGGAAGCGCUUGCGACCAGACUCGAUCUUUGGUGAUCAGCCGGGCUUCUGUCCGGUGCACUUGCCACUGAUCGGGCCAGCAUCGGUUCUGAGGGCGGGAUAAAAGGUUGGGGAAUGUAGCUUCUCUCGGGGAGUGUUAUAGCCUCGAUCAUAAUGCCGCCAUUCGGGACCGAGGACCGCGCUUCGGCUAGGA